UACGUAGGGGGCAAGCGUUGUCCGGAAUUAUUGGGCGUAAAGCGCGCGCAGGCGGUCAUUUAAGUCUGGUGUUUAAUCCCGGGGCUCAACCCCGGAUCGCACUGGAAACUGGGUGACUUGAGUGCAGAAGAGGAGAGUGGAAUUCCACGUGUAGCGGUGAAAUGCGUAGAUAUGUGGGAGGAACACCAGGUGGCGAAGGCG
rnacentral:rRNA from 1 species